rfam:Plasmodiophora brassicae isolate e3 genome assembly, contig: scaffold_27
GUCUUCUUAGCUCAGUUGGGAGAGCGUACGACUGAAGAUCGUAAGGUCUCGCGUUCGAUCCGCGAAGAGGACA